GCAUCAUAUGGUUCAUGUGGGCACACAUGAACCCUCAUCACAUACAUACAUAUCAUUUAUGCACAUGCAUAUAAUCAUGGCAUAUUACAUAAUCAUGUAAGACAGGACUCCACAUCCUAUCCUAGUGGACAUGACCUUUCCAAUUGUGCUUGACCUUCUAGAACAUCUAUGAGCCCGACACUCUAGGUCCGACCAUAUGAACCUAGGGCUCUGAUACCAUUCUGUAACAGCCCGAAAAUCCGGAC
rnacentral:lncRNA from 1 species